CGCACAGCCCCGGCUCGGCACCCCGCCCCUGAGCGCACGGCUCUGACCGGGCAGCCACGCACCGCUCCGACCCCACUACGCAGCUCCGCUGCAUCCCUGGGACGGCUUUAAUCCCGGGCACCGUGCCCUCAGUCUCGCUGCGCCGACUCUUUUCCGGAAUCCCAUUCCUCCGGGGUUUUAAAAAAGGCGUUUUGAAAAGGUCUCGGGUGUUUUGGGGUGAUGCAAAAGAGGGAAUGACUUUGGCUCAUUUUGAAAAUGGGAAAGACCGGGUCGUUUGAGCAGAGGAGGCAUCCUUGGCUCCUGCUCAGGAGUGAAGUUUGUUGCCCUGGGGGCAGCACCCAUGUGGGGUUGGUCCCUCAGCACCCCCGGAUGGCUUACUAAAGUGCAGUACUUUGGGGGACCCUUCUGCCUCUGGAUCACAGCCGUUGUGGCACUGCUCCCUGAACAUACAAUGACAGCCAAGCAGCCUUCUGCUUUUAGUCAAAAAGAAGAAGGGGGGGGAGGGAGAGGGAGGGGGGAACAACCACUCCUCUUCCAAAGGAAUAGCAUCAUUUUCCAAAGCUUCUGUACAAGUGCUCGGAAAUAACCUUCCGUACUGCACGCAUAGUAAAGGCCACAUGAGUCUCAGAAUGAAGUCUGUGUUCUGUGCUUUCAGAACAUGUUUUCCCGUCUGGGCAGCUUGUACUUAGGGACAGACAUUUCUCCAGGCAAACAAAUCAGGGCAAAGAUUGCCUCCUGAAAUGUGGGUGGCUCUUUGCAGGAUUGAGCACUUGGGAAAGGAAGGGAAGGGAAGGGAAGGGAAGGGAAGGGAAGGAAAGGAUCUCCAAUUGUGUUUCCAUUCUAUCCUUUUAAGGGAAACAAGAGACAAAGCAGGAGUUUAGAAAUACUGAAAACAACUUCUAAGAUAGCAGUCAUUUUAGUUGGCAGCAUUUUAAUGCACUACAAGUCAGCAAAUUCUCCUUCUCUGCAUGAGAGGUUUAACUACCUGUUUUUCACUAGGCCACUUAGGACUGAAGGCUGUGACAAAACCUUUGCUCGCCCUGUUUCUCCACCUGGGAAGCAGGAGCUGAUACUCUCUCAGCUGCCUAUCCGUGACCUCUUCAUGCCUUGGAAACUCCCAUUUGCCUCAUAUGCCUAAGCGCGCUGCCAUUAACUCCACUCUGUGUAAGUUCUCACGGUAACAGUGUAGCUGUCACACUCUGAACUUGCUGAGAAGGCCCUAAGAGCCAGAACCCCCACUCAAGCACAGCCCCCUGCGCUGGAUAGCACUGCAAGCCUCAGGCAGACAGCCUCGACCCUUCAGUCCAAGGGAUGGGAUUUCACCACUGCGGCUUCUUAAAAGCUGAAGUGCCAUUAUUUAAAGAACAGUUUGCCACGUCUCCCUCUAGAACUAUUUUGCAUUGCCUUAAAUCCUGGCAAAUCCGUGGCAAGCAGCCAUCGAGCUGAGCCCUCACUGCACAGUGGGGCAGAGAGAUCUGCAGGAGGUGCCUGGCCGUCCCUCCCUGCAAGGCACACACAUAAUGGACUCCUUCAUGGAAAGGGAGUGUUAUUUCAGGGCAGGGAGCAUUACAAUUUAUCAGGUGUUCCUUUUGCCACACAGGCAAACCCUAAGGAACCUCAGAAGGCUUUCAGCUGCAACAAAUAAAAAUAGAAGGCAGUGGGAGAAGGGAACACAUGCCAGCAUUCAAAAACUUGCAUUAUCUGAAAUAUUUGCUCAGUCUCUGGGUAGAUUUAGUGAAUCUUCUGCAUGUUAAUGAACUGGUGGUGAUCUGUUCUUGAAACAAAUCUUAUGCCGGGAUGUAAAAAUAUGGAUUUUCAAAGUGAUGCUGACCACUGUGUGUGCUGUUCUUUAGGGCUUCCUCAUUCUGCAGUUCUGUAAUACAGCAUUAUCAGAAAUAUGGCUGUUUGCUUCCAGUGAAACGGACCCUAAACGAUACGAUGCCCUUGCAGAUUAAUGUGGGGUUUUGCUUGGCAAGCAGCUCUCAGUGCCUGUAGGGAUACACGUCAGGGAAGCAUUUCGUAUCCACACGUGUACAUUUGUACCGGCUGGUAUGGAAGCGCUCCAAUAUAGAUCAGAAUUGCUCAAAGGAGCAACAAAGGUUUCCACAAAGAGCCAAAAAUCCGUUCGGGAACGCCGGUGAUGUUUCGUACUUCGCCCACCAGGGGGGGUGUUGGGGCCUUUUAACUGGGGGGAGCUCCGUUCAUGAGUUAGGUGCUCUAUGUGGCCGUCUCACCAUGUCUUGCUCCUUGAAAAUCGUCUUUC
ensembl:lncRNA